rnacentral:rRNA from 1 species
GACGAACGCUGGCGGCGUGCUUAACACAUGCAAGUCGAACGGAAAGGCCCUGCUUUUGUGGGGUGCUCGAGUGGCGAACGGGUGAGUAACACGUGAGUAACCUGCCCUUGACUUUGGGAUAACUUCAGGAAACUGGGGCUAAUACCGGAUAGGAGCCCCUGCUGCAUGGUGGGGGUUGGAAAGUUUCGGCGGUUGGGGAUGGACUCGCGGCUUAUCAGCUUGUUGGUGGGGUAGUGGCUUACCAAGGCUUUGACGGGUAGCCGGCCUGAGAGGGUGACCGGCCACAUUGGGACUGAGAUACGGCCCAGACUCCUACGGGAGGCAGCAGUGGGGAAUAUUGCACAAUGGGCGGAAGCCUGAGGCAGCAACGCCGCGUGCGGGAUGACGGCCUUCGGGUUGUAAACCGCUUUCGCCUGUGACGAAGCGUGAGUGACGGUAAUGGGUAAAGAAGCACCGGCUAACUACGUG